rnacentral:ncRNA from 1 species
GACAUAUUGGGUGCUGAGAACGAAAGUCGAGAGGGAAACAGCCCAGAUCGUGCGCUAAGGUCCCUAAGCAAUCACUUAGUGGAAAAGGAAGUGAUCGAGCGAUGACAACCAGGAGGUGGGCUUGGAAGCAGCCAUCCUUUGAAGAAAGCGUAAUAGCUCACUGGUCUAGCUCCAUGGCACCGAAAAUGUCUCAGGGCUCAAGUGAUUCACCG